rnacentral:rRNA from 1 species
UACGUAGGGUCCGAGCGUUGUCCGGAAUUAUUGGGCGUAAAGAGCUCGUAGGCGGUCUGUCGCGUCGGCUGUGAAAACACGGGGCUCAACUCCGUGCCUGCAGUCGAUACGGGCAGACUAGAGUUCGGUAGGGGAGACUGGAAUUCCUGGUGUAGCGGUGAAAUGCGCAGAUAUCGGGAAGAACACCCGUGGCGAAGGCGGUUCUCUGGGACGGUACUGACGCUGAGACACGAAGGUCAGGGAGCAAACGGG